rnacentral:lncRNA from 1 species
CCUGAUUUCAGACUUUGGGCCUUCAGAACUAUGAGAUGAUAGAUUUAUUUUGCUGCAAGUCAUUUAAUUUGGGGUAAUUUGUUAAGACAGCCCUAGAAAACUAAUUCACUAAGUGUCCCAUAGAGUAGUCAUUUAUUCCAGCGAUUUCCAGUAUGUCUUACUGUGUCACCACUGCACAAAAGGACUGCCAAAUAGGGAGAAAUAGGCAAAUUUUUCAUUAAAGUUAUUUAUUUGCUUCGUCAAAUAAUUAUGGAUCCCAAAUUCUAGCUGCUCUGAAACAGGCUAAACAUACUUGCAUUUCAAAAUCUUGUCUGCUUUAUGCCAUCUGACCUUCAUCUCUUUCAUAAUUCAGAUAGUUCUUUAAAUUGACAGUUUAAGAUUAGUUUAAGAUUAUCUAAUUGCUUUAUGUUUUUUUUUAUAGAUGAGAAAAUGGGCUUUACUUUCACGCCGUUACUGAGUUAGUUAAGAUAAGUUAAACUGUUAAUUUAGGCUGUUAUCAUGUACACAAAAAUAUAGGAGCGUGAACAAAUAGUUUAUUUCUGUUCUCUGACAGCUGGUACAUAAACAGUCCAGGGCUGCCAUGGCAGCUCCCAGAUAGCAGGCACCAGGCCUAUCCCUCUUGCUGCUUUGCUCCCCUAACACUUGUUGUGCUUCUCAGCAUGAUUGAGGAUGACUCACUACUUCAUUGAUAUGCCAUCAGAAGAGAGGGUGAAAAUGGAGGUUAUUUCUAACUGAGAGUUUUACCUAUAGAUUUCAUGCUUACUUCCCACAUCCCACUCACAAUGUUCAUGUCCCAUUGAUCAAAAGCAUAGUUACAGCCAUUUGCAAAAAAGGGCUAAGAAUUAUUGUCUUUAUUUUCUGUGGCCAGCCACACUAAUAUCUAGGGAUUCCAUCCCUCAAGGAUAAUGGGGAAAGUGGAUCUGAGUACAACAUAGUAAUACUCGACACUCAGUCUAGUAUAUAAGAGAGGGACACAAUUACUUAAAUUAGUACUCACACUUACAGAUGAGAAAAUAAGACUUUAAAAAAAUUCAGUGUAUUCCUCAAGGUCAUCCAGCUAAAUUAUUGGCAAAGUCUUGCAAAUAAUUCUGUUACAGUGCUUUCAUAAUAACAACCUCAUAAUUCUUAAAAUUUAUGUAGUGUUUACUGAUUU